rnacentral:tRNA from 1 species
GAGAGCGGAUGUGGCCCGGUGGCUGUCCCCGUCUUCAAAACGGGCGAGCGGGGUGGCGAACUUCGCUGGUGGGUUCGACUCCCACGCGCUCUCGCCA